rnacentral:lncRNA from 1 species
ACUCGUUUGAACGCCGUCAAUGAUUUAUUUAAACAACAAUAGAUGCGUGUUUUUGCUGUCUCACAAACGAAGCAGUUUGGUUCUGUCUUUCCCUAUUCUGGAAAGAAAAAUGUCUCGAUCAUUUUCAAAAGGCUAGACAGUUUACUAAUUGCAUAUGGAAAAUUUUGUUCAGAUACAGCAGAUCAGCUGCUUGACUUGGAAACUGUAAAAGAUGGAGGAACAGAAAAUGAGAACGGUGAAAGAAUCGCUGCUUUUGGUAUGAGAGGUAUAGGAAGUAUUUUAUUUAAAAAGGUAAGAUCAUCGACUUUAAUUGACAGUCCAAUUUGUUUUUUUAAGUAGAAGUUUGUUAAUUUUUGAAUAGUAUUAUCUCAAAAUUACAUAUGCCUACUCCAGAUCCGUGUACGUAUAAAUUUGUCAAGAUUUGGGAUUGGUAUAAUAUGGGAUUAUUACAAUCUUAUCUGAUAUAGUUUACAAUCUUAUCUGAUAUAGUUUAAGGGAAAAUUCUAUAAAAGUCUUAGGUAUAAGAACACGGAUUGCUUAUAGAAUCCAAAAUUUGCACAAGUUUGAGUCUAUACUAAGAUGAAUUAGUUCAUAGUAGGGUUUAAACAAUUUGCAUUUUGUUAUACAAUUAGUUUUAUUUAAACUGUAGUUUAAGUACGCCUUUAGAUAUUUGAUUAUUUUCUUUUAUGAAUACAAUUAAAUUGGUAAAUGUAGGAGGAAAUGGUGGCCAAUGACUGUCCCAUCGGCCACUUUUUCACAAGGGCCUUCACCAAAUUUUUUGUAAAUUAGAAUAUAAAAAAAGAGGGAAGAAGAAAAUGUAAACAAAAUUUAAAGGAUCGAAAAUACCCUCAUUUGGAAAGAAGAGAAAAGGAAAAUAGAGAAAAAAAAAAGAAAAAAGUAGUUCGGAUCCACGUCGCCUA